rnacentral:misc_RNA from 1 species
GUAGGUGAACCUGCGGAAGGAUCAUUACCGAGUUCAUGCCCUUCGGGGUAGAUCUCCCGCCCUUUGUAUACCAUACCUCUGUUGCUUUGGCGGGCCGCCUAGCUACUGGCUCCGGCUGGUAAGUGCCCGCCAGAGGACCCAAAACCCUGAAAUUAAUGUCGUCUGAGUAAAGAGUUUAAUAUUUAAAACUUUCAACAACGGAUCUCUUGGCUCUG